rnacentral:rRNA from 1 species
UACGAAGGGGGCUAGCGUUGUUCGGAAUUACUGGGCGUAAAGCGCACGUAGGCGGAUAUUUAAGUCAGGGGUGAAAUCCCAGAGCUCAACUCUGGAACUGCCUUUGAUACUGGGUAUCUUGAGUAUGGAAGAGGUAAGUGGAAUUGCGAGUGUAGAGGUGAAAUUCGUAGAUAUUCGCAGGAACACCAGUGGCGAAGGCGGCUUACUGGUCCAUUACUGACGCUGAGGUGCGAAAGCGUGGGGGAGCAAACAGGG